AGGAUAAUAGUUAAACAUAACAUUUGGUUUGCAAUCAAAAAGUAUUGACAACGUCAAUUUAUCUUA
rnacentral:tRNA from 1 species